AUUAAAAUGGACAGGUAGAUUUUUUAUCUGAGCAACUGGGUGGGAACAGGUCCCUUGCUGGGAUAAAGGAACUUGGGAGAGGAGCAAGAAUUCUAUUUGAGACACAAUAUGUGAUCCAGGUGCCACCAGGCUGGCUGGGGAGAAGGGACAAGAAGGAGCUGGGGGCCUGGACAAUUUCUCCCAGAUGAAGCCAUAUGUAAUACAGCAAGGAGAUUUUGGAAGAUAGGAGUGGCCUCAGAGCCAGUGUCUCUCUGAAGAUUGUCCCAACUGUGUCAGGAUGUACAGGAGAUAAGUUGCUGGAAUAUGAGAAGUGUUCAUUAAAUGGUAGUGGAAAAAUUAAAUGGACUACUAAAGAACUUUGAAUGAAA
rnacentral:lncRNA from 1 species